rnacentral:rRNA from 1 species
CCCCUAGUACGGCGAGUGAACCGGGAAGAGCUCAAAUUUGAAAUCUGGCGUGCUCAGUGCGUCCGAGUUGUAAUCUAUAGAAACGUUUUCCGUGCCGGACCGUGUCCAAGUUCCUUGGAACAGGGUAUCAAAGAGGGUGAUAAUCCCGUACUUGACACGACGACCGGUGCUCUGUGAUACGUUUUCUACGAGUCGAGUUGUUUGGGAAUGCAGCUCAAAAUGGGUGGUGAGUUCCAUCUAAAGCUAAAUAUUGGCGAGAGACCGAUAG